UUGCGAAUUAACGUUUGAAAAUUCCGCCAAGACUCGUAAUGAUAGUCCCAGGUUUCGUCAACAGAUGGCGCAACACUCGCAUGGUUACUUGGCAACGAGCUGCGUUUGUUUUCACAACCUGUCACAACCUCAAAUGUUCUGCCAAAGUGCCUGACAUCGGUCGAGCCAGCAAAACGAAGAAAUGGAAAGCAAAGAUGCGGAUAAUGCAACCACGUCUCCGCAAUCGGAACAUCAGUCCGAGGACGAGGCAGAAGGUGGAGAGUAUGAAGGCGAGAGAAAAUCCGACGCAAAUUUCGGUGGGCUGGAGGGUUCGGAGCAAGCACAGGCGGCUGCACUGCCAACUUACCAAAUUCGACCACCACUUUCUGAGAAAUUCAAACCUAUGAGCGCAAAAGAAGUUAUACACAGUGUACUUUCCGAUCAACUCUCUACGAGAGUUUAUGACCCGAAAGAGGCGCGCAAAUGGUGUAAAGAAAUUGCUGAUACCAUUAGAGACAAAGUUAAAGAUUUGAAAUUUAAGCGAUAUAAGUAUAUAGUCAAUGUCGUAAUGGGAGAGCAUCGUGGUGCUGGCGUUAAAAUGGGCACCAGGUGCAUAUGGGAUGCCGAAGCUGAUAGCUAUGCCCACGACAAUUUUUUGAAUGAGUCUAUAUUCUGUGUCGCAGCAGUUUACGCUGUGUAUUAUUACUGAAGUUUUUGCAAGUGGUUCAUACUUGGAAGUUUCGAUUAUGGAUGAAAUGAGAUUGUGUGGGUGACGUAUAAUUCUUAGACCCUGAGCAUAUACCUAGAGGUUCGUCCCGACGUCGGGCUGCGGGCAGCUUCUACGAGCUCACCGAGUUUCUCUAUUUUCGGAAUGUCAACCGACCGCUUCGCCGAUGACGUAACCCCGUCGGCGCUAACCUCAUCCGCAGCCUGUUCCUGACGUCAUCCACCUGUACUGAACGCCAAAACUUGGUCUUCCAAAGGGUACGCUGCCGGUGUAGGUGUAGAAAAUUCGAACCUUGCCGAGAAUUGAUUUCAGCCUUUUAAUCUCGACGAGAUUUUCGGCUGGAGUCUUUGAAUCGUAUCUCAACGACAUUUUUAGAUGAACGAAUUUUCAAAUUUCAAAUCGACGCAGAGAAAAUUCGAAUCGUGAUGUACAGGAUUUUUACCGAAAAUAUUUCAUUCGCUUCUUUAUUUUUUUCACCCAUUUUCCACUGCACGGUGAUUCAACGUCUGUAAUCAUCGCCGCGUUGUUUUUGAAGUUGUUUCAGUUUUCGGACAUUUUUUAUAGAAUAGACAGGGUGGCCACACACCGGGAAAAUCCGGAAAACCUGGAAAUCUCAGGGAAUUUAAAAAGUGUCACGGAAAACGUGGUAUUGUCGGGAGAUUGUUAAUUUGGUCGUGGAAAAAACUGAAGAUAUCAGUUCUCCUAUCGUGGGAAUUAGAAAUCAUUUUUCAGAUAGCAAAUUUACUUUUUUCUGCCGAGAAAACAAAACUUAUAUUUAUCUUAGGUUCGAAUUGAAUUUUAAUCGAAUAUAGAGUUAAUAAGCGUUAAGAACAAUUUAGGUUUUAGUAACUUACCAGAACUGGGAAAAUUUCAGGGAGAACUAGGUUUUAGGUCCUGGAAAAGUUAUGGAUUUUUUUUCCCGAAAAUUUCUGGUUACCCAGAUAGAUUUAUGUUUGUACAGCAUUGAAGAAACGGCGAUUCUUCCAUCAUAUUCCAACUUCGGCGACCUUGGCGUUUAAUCGUUUAAGCACGAGAUGAGUACUCUUCACGGCCGUCGCAUCCAUCAGUCAUCAUAAACUUCAAACUUCAUUGCGCUCAAUAAAGUUACAUAUCCAACGGAAUUAUGCAGUAUUCUAUGAUAAAUCGUGAUGACUCUUCGCCAAAAUAAUUAUAACGUUGCGGGAAAUCGGCAGCUGGGAUAAAACAAAUGAUUAUGAAUAAAUCCUGAAUUCAUGAUCUUACUGUUUCGCGUACAUUCUUCAAUAAUAACGG
rnacentral:misc_RNA from 1 species